rnacentral:rRNA from 1 species
AUACGAAGGGGGCAAGCGUUGCUCGGAAUGACUGGGCGUAAAGGGCGCGUAGGCGGUUGACACAGUCAGAUGUGAAAUUCCCGGGCUUAACCUGGGGGCUGCAUUUGAUACGUGGCGACUAGAGUGUGAGAGAGGGUUGUGGAAUUCCCAGUGUAGAGGUGAAAUUCGUAGAUAUUGGGAAGAACGCCGGUGGCGAAGGCGGCAACCUGGCUCAUAACUGACGCUGAGGCGCGAAAGCGUGGGGAGC